UGGGCAACCUGCCCUUGAGACGGGGAUAACUCCGGGAAACCGGAGCUAAUACCGGAUAACACAUAUCUUCGCAUGAGGAUAUGUUAGAAGGUGGCUUUUAGCUACCACUCAAGGAUGGGCCCGCGGCGCAUUAGCUAGUUGGUGAGGUAACGGCUCACCAAGGCGACGAUGCGUAGCCGACCUGAGAGGGUGAUCGGCCACACUGGGACUGAGACACGGCCCAGACUCCUACGGGAGGCAGCAGUAGGGAAUCUUCCGCAAUGGACGAAAGUCUGACGGAGCAACGCCGCGUGAGUGAUGAAGGUUUUCGGAUCGUAAAGCUCUGUUGUUAGGGAAGAACAAGUACCUGUUAAAUAAGCAGGUACCUUGACGGUACCUAACCAGAAAGCCACGGCUAACUACGUGCCAGCAGCCGCGGUAAUACGUAGGUGGCAAGCGUUGUCCGGAAUUAUUGGGCGUAAAGCGCGCGCAGGCGGUUCCUUAAGUCUGAUGUGAAAGCCCACGGCUCAACCGUGGAGGGUCAUUGGAAACUGGGGAACUUGAGUGCAGAAGAGGAGAGCGGAAUUCCACGUGUAGCGGUGAAAUGCGUAGAGAUGUGGAGGAACACCAGUGGCGAAGGCGGCUCUCUGGUCUGUAACUGACGCUGAGGCGCGAAAGCGUGGGGAGCGAACAGGA
rnacentral:rRNA from 2 species